rnacentral:rRNA from 1 species
UACGUAGGCAGCAAGCGUUGUUCGGAGUUACUGGGCGUAAAGGGUGUGUAGGCGGUCUACUAAGUCUGGUGUGAAAUCUCCCGGCUCAACUGGGAGGGUGCGCCGGAAACUGGAAGGCUAGAGUGCGGGAUGGGAGAGUGGAAUUCCUGGUGUAGCGGUGAAAUGCGUAGAUAUCAGGAGGAACACCUGUGGUGUAGACGGCUCUCUGGACCGCAACUGACGCUGAGACACGAAAGCGUGGGUAGCAAACGGG